GCAUCCAUGGAGCAGUAGUUAGCUCAUUCCUCUCCCACGUCUCCUACAAGAGAUUGUAAGGUCGUUAAGGAAAGACCCGGGUGCAAAUCCCGGUGGAUGCA